AUGACAAUUCAGUAAUGAUGAGACGGGAGACAGGAAUCAUUUCAACCAUUUAUGUGCAAUGCAGCUCAACACACAUCACCCAUUACGCUACUACGCAUCAAGUUGAGGAGACUACAGCACAUCAAGCCUGUGGACGAACAGACAAGAAGUGUGACAUGGGGAAAAUCGUGCUCACCCAACGAGAAGCAGUGCAUGGCUUUGGGGAUGACCAGUGAGAUAUACCUGCUGGAGCGCGUG